rnacentral:rRNA from 1 species
CAUCACUACGCUAGAUGCAUAUCAAUAAGCGGAGGAAAAGAAACUAACAAGGAUUCCCCUAGUAACGGCGAGUGAAGCGGGAAGAGCUCAAAUUUGAAAUCUUAAAGGGUUUCCCUUUACGAAUUGUAGUUUAAAGAAGUGUUUUCUGUUGGAGUUUCGGUAAAAGUUCUUUGGAAUAGGACAUCAUAGAGGGUGAGAAUCCCGUAUUUGACCGUUACUUUCCAGCUGUGUGAUACACUUUCAAAGAGUCCGGAUUGUUUGGGAAUGCAGUCCAAAAUGGGUGGUAAAUUUCAUCUAAAGCUAAAUAUUGGCGAGAGACCGAUAGCGAACAAGUACCGUGAGGGAAAGAUGAAAAGAACUUUGAAAAGAGAGUUAAACAGUACGUGAAAUUGUCAAAAGGGAAGCGUUUGACACCAGUGUUGUUUAGUUGAAAAUCAAUUCAAUAAUUUUCGAUUUUGAGUAGUAUUGACUUCAUCAGCUUGCUGCUUUCUUUUCGGAAAUUAUUGAAUGCACUUUUCAGUUAACAAGUCAACAUCAAUUUCUUUUGUUGUAAAAGGGUAAGAGGAAGGUGGCUUACGCUUCGGCGUAAGUGUUUAUAGCCUUUUACCUCUGCAAUCGGAGAGAUUGAGGACAGCAGCGUAGACUCUUCGGGGUUAGAUACACUUGUGCUAAGCUAUAGCCUUGUAUAGACAACUUGUUGACUAUGCUCAGUCAUGUAGCUUACUCGCUUGUGCUAUUUUACCUACGCUUAGGAUGUUGACGAGACUGUCGAUCUC